rnacentral:tRNA from 1 species
CUGGUGAGCUCAGUUGGUAGAGCGCCCCACUGGAAAUGGAGAGGUCCCUGGUUCAAUACCCGGACCAG